AUUGAACGCUGGCGGCAGGCCUAACACAUGCAAGUCGAACGCGUGGCGGACGGGUGAGUAAUGUCUGGGAAACUUCCUGAUGGAGGGGGAUAACUCCUUUAAACGGUAGCUAAUAUCGCAUACCAUCGGAUGUGUCCAGAUGGGAUUGGCUAGUAGGUGGGGUAAAGGCUCACCUAGGCGACGAUCCCUAUCUGGUCUGAGAGGAUGACCAGCCACACUGGAACUGAGACACGGUCCAGACUCCUACGGGAGGCAGCAGUGGGGAAUAUUGGACAAUGGGGGAAACCCUGAUCCAGCCAUCCCGCGUGUAUGAUGAAGGCCUUCGGGUUGUAAAGUACUUUUGGCAGAGAAGCGGUAUCUGCAGAAUAAGCACCGGCUAACUACGUGCCAGCAGCCGCGGUAAUAC
rnacentral:rRNA from 1 species